rnacentral:rRNA from 1 species
AGCCGCAGUAUCCUGACUGUGCUAAGGUAGCAUAAUCAUUUGCUUUUUAAUUGAAAGCUGGAAUAAAUGAUCUGACGAGAAGUCAACUGUCUCCAAAAAACUUUUAGAAAUUUAUAUAAAGGUAAAAAAGCCUUUUAUAUUUAAAGGGACGAUAAGACCCUAGAACCUAUUUCUUUCUGUUAUACUAGCUUUUGAUUUUUUUUAUCAGCCUUGAGAAAUUGCUGGGGCGGUAAAAAUUUAUCUUCACUUUUAUUCUAACCGCCAUGUGCGAAUACAACACCUUUGGUAAAAGAAAAAAUAAAGGUACUCUAGGGAUAACAGCAUGAUUUACCUUUAGAGCUCUAAUCAACAGGUAUUUUAUGACCUCGAUGUUGAAUUGAG